rnacentral:rRNA from 1 species
AUUGAACGCUUGCAGCAGGCCUAACACAUGCAAGUCGAGCGAGUGGCGGACGGGUGAGUAAUGUCUGGGAAACUGCCUGAUGGAGGGGGAUAACUACUGGAAACGGUAGCUAAUACCGCAUACCCUCAGAUGUGCCCAGAUGGGAUUAGCUUGUUGGUGGGGUAACGGCUCACCAAGGCGACGAUCCCUAGCUGGUCUGAGAGGAUGACCAGCAACACUGGAACUGAGACACGGUCCAGACUCCGACGGGAGGCAGCAGUGGGGAAUAUUGCACAAUGGGCGCAAGCCGGAUGCAGCCAUGCAGCGUGUAUGAAGAAGGCCGUCGGGUUGUAAAGUACUUUCAGCGGGGAGGCGUUACCCGAAGAAGAAGCACCGGCUAACUCCGUGCCAGCAGCCGCGGUAAUUC